CCUACGGGUGGCAGCAGUGAGGAAUAUUGGUCAAUGGACGAGAGUCUGAACCAGCCAAGUAGCGUGAAGGAUGACUGCCCUAUGGGUUGUAAACUUCUUUUAUAAAGGAAUAAAACGAGGCACGUGUGCCUUUUUGCAUGUACUUUAUGAAUAAGGAUCGGCUAACUCCGUGCCAGCAGCCGCGGUAAUACGGAGGAUCCGAGCGUUAUCCGGAUUUUAUGGGGUUAAAGGGAGCGGAGAUGGGUUGUUAAGUCAGUUGGGAAAGUGUGCGGGUCAACUGUAAAAUUGCAAUUGAUACUGGCAGUCUUGAGUACAGUUGAGGUAGGCGGAAUUCGUGGUGUAGCGGUGAAAUGCUUAGAUAUCACGAAGAACCCCGAUUGCGAAGGCAGCUUACUAAACUGUGACUGACAUUGAUGCUCGAAAGUGUGGGUAUCAAACAGGAUUAGAUACCCUUGUAGUC
rnacentral:rRNA from 1 species